rnacentral:rRNA from 1 species
GACGAACGCUGGCGGCGUGCCUAAUACAUGCAAGUCGAACGCACAGUUUAUACCGUAGCUUGCUACACCAUAGACUGUGAGUUGCGAACGGGUGAGUAACGCGUAGGUAACCUGCCUGGUAGCGGGGGAUAACUAUUGGAAACGAUAGCUAAUACCGCAUAAUAUUAAUUAUUGCAUGAUAAUUAAUUGAAAGGUGCAAUUGCACCACUACCAGAUGGACCUGCGUUGUAUUAGCUAGUAGGUGAGGUAACGGCUCACCUAGGCGACGAUACAUAGCCGACCUGAGAGGGUGAUCGGCCACACUGGGACUGAGACACGGCCCAGACUCCUACGGGAGGCAGCAGUAGGGAAUCUUCGGCAAUGGACGAAAGGCUGACCGAGCAACGCCGCGGGAGUGAAGAAGGUUUUCGGAUCGUAAAGCUCUGUUGUAAGAGAAGAACGGGUGUGAGAGUGGAAAGUUCACACUGUGACGGUAUCUGACCAGAAAGGGACGGCUAACUACGUG